CUGGUUGAUCCUGCCAGUGGUCAUAUGCUACGUUCAAGGUGCUAAGCCAUGCAUGUCUCAGUGCAAACGGUUCAACAGUGGGUCUGUGAAUGGCUCCUUACAUCAGCAGUCAUCUGUGUGAUACAAGAGUGAUCCAAUUGGACAUCCACUAAAACCUAGUGGCUAAUACACGUUGGCAGAGUGGGCCAUGCCCACCGGGCAGCCUCUGGCUGUCCUGAUGGUCACAUUGCAUCCAGCUGGAACUAAGACCAGUGCCUGUCAAAGGCAGCACCUGGGUUGACUCAUGCUGGCUCCAAUCGGAGGACCUGUACUGGCAGAAUGUGCCUCGGCACCUGCAGGAUCACAUGAACUUCUGACCUAUCAGCUUGGACUGUGGUGCAGUGGACCACAGUGGCCUUGACGGGUAACGGAGAAUCAGGGUUUGAUUCCGGAGAGGGAGCCUGACAAACGGCUACCACUACCAAGGUGGGCAGCAGGCGCGCAAAUUGCCCAAUGCAGACACAUUCUGUGAGGCAGCGACGAACUGCAACAACCCUGUUGGCAUUCUCUGUCAGCAGGGCUUGUGAUGGAUGCAAUCCAAACACAGUGAUGAGUAUCAACUGGAGGAAAAGUCUGGUGCCA
rnacentral:rRNA from 1 species